rnacentral:rRNA from 1 species
UGGGGAAUUUUGGACAAUGGGCGAAAGCCUGAUCCAGCAAUGCCGCGUGUGUGAAGAAGGCCUUCGGGUUGUAAACACUUUUGUCCGGAAAGAAAUCCUUGGCUCUAAUACAGUCGGGGGAUGACGGUACCGGAAGAAUAAGCACCGGCUAACUACGUGCCAGCAGCCGCGGUAAUACGUAGGGUGCAAGCGUUAAUCGGAAUUACUGGGCGUAAAGCGUGCGCAGGCGGUUUGCUAAGACCGAUGUGAAAUCCCCGGGCUCAACCUGGGAACUGCAUUGGUGACUGGCAGGCUAGAGUAUGGCAGAGGGGGGUAGAAUUCCACGUGUAGCAGUGAAAUGCGUAGAGAUGUGGAGGAAUACCGAUGGCGAAGGCAGCCCCCUGGGCCAAUACUGACGCUCAUGCACGAAAGCGUGGGGAGCAAACAGGAUUAGAUACCCUGGUAGUCCACGCCCUAAAACGAUGUCAACUAGUUGUUGGGGAUUCAUUUCCUUAGUAACGUAGCUAACGCGUGAAGUUGACCGCCUGGGGAGUACGGUCGCAAGAUUAAAACUUAAAUGAAUUGACGGGGUCAUAGCUG